rnacentral:rRNA from 1 species
GCAAGUCGAGCGGUAACAGGAACUUGCUAGCUAAUUCGCUGACGAGCGGCGGACGGGUGAGUAAUGCCUGGGAAUAUGCCUUAGUGUGGGGGAUAACUAUUGGAAACGAUAGCUAAUACCGCAUAAUGUCUUCGGACCAAAGAGGGGGAUCUUCGGACCUCUCGCGCUAAGAUUAGCCCAGGUGAGAUUAGCUAGUUGGUGAGGUAAGAGCUCACCAAGGCGACGAUCUCUAGCUGGUCUGAGAGGAUGAUC